AUUGAACGCUGGCGGAAUGCUUUACACAUGCAAGUCGAACGGUAGAGGGGCAACCCUUGAGAGUGGCGAACGGGUGAGUAAUGUAUCGGAACAUGCCCAGUCGUGGGGGAUAACGUAGCGAAAGUUACGCUAAUACCGCAUACGAUCUAUGGAUGAAAGCGGGGGAUCGCAAGACCUCGCGCGAUUGGAGUGGCCGAUAUCAGAUUAGGUGGUUGGUGGGGUAAAGGCCUACCAAGCCGACGAUCUGUAGCUGGUCUGAGAGGACGACCAGCCACACUGGGACUGGGACACGGCCCAGACUCCUACGGGGGGCAGCAGUGGGGAAUUUUGGAAAACGGGCGCAAGCCUGAUCCAGCCGUUCCGCGUGCAGGAAGAAGGCCUUCGGGUUGUAAACUGCUUUUGUACGGAACGAAACGCGCUGAGCUAAUACCUCGGCGUAAUGACGGUACCGUAAGAAUAAGCACCGGCUAACUACGUGCCAGCCGCCGCAGUAA
rnacentral:rRNA from 1 species